rnacentral:lncRNA from 1 species
CAGAAUUGCAGGCUUUGUACUGAGGAUGUAUUUUGUGUCCCGCCUUCCCACCUGAGGACGUCUGACCAGGUUACUUUGCCAGAAGCCCCCUCAGAGAACUUUACUACCAAGGAUGAUGUAUGAGCUGGAGACAACGGCUUUACUGUCCAAUGCCCACACUGAGUUCACUGCAUGGGCAGGACCAUGUGGAAUUCAUCAGCACUGUGAAGCCCUGGAGUGAGAAGAGCUGCCAUGGACUUAGAGCUUAGAGGCCUUUGGAAACCAUGGUGAUGCUG